rnacentral:rRNA from 1 species
UACGUAGGGAGCAAGCGUUGUCCGGAAUCAUUGGGCGUAAAGCGCGCGUAGGCGGCCUCGUAAGUCCGCUGUAAAAGUCACAGGCUCAACCUGUGAACGCCGGUGGAUACUGCGAGGCUAGAGUCCGGAAGAGGCGAGUGGAACUCCUGGUGUAGCGGUGGAAUGCGCAGAUAUCAGGAAGAACACCAACGGCGAAGGCGGCUCGCUGGGACGGUACUGACGCUGAGGCGCGAAAGCGUGGGGAGCGAACAGG